rnacentral:rRNA from 1 species
GUAAACCCAAGGUUUCCAGGUGAAGGUUCGUCCGCCCUGGGUUAGUCGGGACCUAAGCUGAGGCCGAAAGGCGUAGGGGAUGGACAACAGGUUGAUAUUCCUGUACUACCGAUAACCGUUUGAGAGAAGGGAUGACACAGUAGGAUAAGCUAAGCACACUGUUGGUUAUGUGUGCCCAAGCAUUGAGGCAGUCAAAGUAGGCAAA